UGGUAGAUGCACCCUGAUUGAUAGUCUCGGCCUUUUAGGUCGGGAUUUUUUUU
rnacentral:sRNA from 1 species